GACUAACGCUGGCGGCGUGCUUAACACAUGCAAGUCGAACGGAAAGGCCCUGCUUUUGUGGGGUGCUCGAGUGGCGAACGGGUGAGUAACACGUGAGUAACCUGCCCUUGACUUUGGGAUAACUUCAGGAAACUGGGGCUAAUACCGGAUAGGAGCUCCUGCUGCAUGGUGGGGGUUGGAAAGUUUCGGCGGUUGGGGAUGGACUCGCGGCUUAUCAGCUUGUUGGUGGGGUAGUGGCUUACCAAGGCUUUGACGGGUAGCCGGCCUGAGAGGGUAACCGGCCACAUUGGGACUGAGAUACGGCGCAGACGCCUACGGGAGGCAGCAGUGGGGAAUAUUGCACAAUGGGCGGAAGCCUGAUGCAGCAACGCCGCGUGCGGGAUGACGGCCUUCGGGUUGUAAACCGCUUUCGCCUGUGACGAAGCGUGAGUGACGGUAAUGGGUAAAGAAGCACCGGCUAACUACGUG
rnacentral:rRNA from 1 species